UAAGGAAUAUUGGACAAUGGACGCAAGUCUGAUCCAGCCAUGCCGCGUGAAGGAUGAAUGCCCUCUGGGUUGUAAACUUCUUUUAUAGGGGAAGAAAGAUACUUUUUUUAAGGUAGUUGACGGUACCCUAUGAAUAAGCACCGGCUAACUCCGUGCCAGCAGCCGCGGUAAUACGGAGGGUGCGAGCGUUAUCCGGAUUUACUGGGUUUAAAGGGUGCGUAGGUGGGCUUAUAAGUCAGUGGUGAAAUCUCCGAGCUUAACUUGGAAACUGCCGUUGAUACUAUAGGUCUUGAAUUAUCUGGAGGUAAGCGGAAUAUGUCAUGUAGCGGUGAAAUGCUUAGAUAUGACAUAGAACACCAAUUGCGAAGGCAGCUUACUACAUAUAAAUUGACGCUGAGGCACGAAAGCGUGGGGAUCAAACA
rnacentral:rRNA from 1 species